CGAAGGGCGCUUCUUUCCCUUAUGCUUCUUAUCUCUUGGGAAAUUUGGAAGGAGCGAAAUGCACGUGUGUUCCGCAGCACGGCAAUUCCGGUAGGGGUGCUUGUGACUCGCGUCAAAGCGGAAACUUCGCUGUGGUGCCUCGCGGGGGCGAAAUAUUUGUGUAACAUAAUGCCGCGAGAGUGA
rnacentral:rRNA from 1 species